AAAAAAAAAAUCAUUCAAGCUUAGAUUAUGAAAUUGGAGUAGGAAAAAUAAAGAUUAAAUAAAAGAAUAGAGAAGAUGAAAGAAGAAGGAAGUGAUAUGAGUGAUAUAUAAAUAUGUUUAAUUUGAUAUUUGAAAUUUGAAUAUUAUAAUUUGCCUCCAAAUUCAUUGUAAUAAAGGUGACAACUUUUGACAACAUGAGCAUUUGUUUUCACAUGUAUUUGUUUUCAAGAGCAACCAAGUGGCCCAUGGCUCAGUUUGCUUUUAGACGUCAUAUUUGACCUCAUCUGGCAGUUUCUUAAAUAAGAACAAUUUUGACUUUACCUUGAACUGCACAUUUCUUAUAUUUAUUAGAUUGAAGAAUGGAGUUUGAGUCCCUCACAAGUAUAGUGGUGAUAGUAGUAGUAAGUUAGAUCUAUGGUUUUGAAUUUUGAGAGACUUUAAAAGAAAUUACAUGACUUGUGGUGAGAUAGAGAAAAAGAGAGGAGAAAAUUCGCGGUUUGAUUCGGGGUACAUGAAUUGGUUCAAGUAGGGUCUUGAUCUCUUUAAGCAUGCGGUCAGGAGUUAGAUUUCUCGCUCAUAAGUAUUAUUUUAUUUUAUUUUUGCUUCCAACAUAUUUGUUGACGGGUUUUAAGCCCCAAUAAAUUAUUGAGGGCCUAAAACCCCCAAUAAAUUAUGCAACCA
rnacentral:lncRNA from 1 species